rnacentral:tRNA from 1 species
AACUAUUAAGUAUUAAACAUAUGUUUUGAAAGCAUAAUUAGGAGAAUUACUCCAAUAGUUU